AAAUCAAAUGAUGAGUAUUCUCUUUUUUAUAAUCUCAUGACGGUCGUCUGAGAUAGCUCUUUGCUGAUAAAACUGAGAUCUCUGAUGUUU